UACAGUCAUUUCACGUUGAAACACUGCUUCUCGUGCGAUCACCGAAGUUAAGCAACGUCGCGCUUGGUCAAUAACUAGAUGGGUGACCGCUUGGGAAUACCAGUUGCAG